UACGAAGGGGGCUAGCGUUGUUCGGAAUCACUGGGCGUAAAGCGCACGUAGGUGGACUUUCAAGUCAGGGGUGAAAUCCCGGGGCUCAACCUCGGAACUGCCUUUGAUACUGUUGGUCUUGAGUCCGGAAGAGGUGAGUGGAACUCCGAGUGUAGAGGUGAAAUUCGUAGAUAUUCGGAAGAACACCAGUGGCGAAGGCGGCUCACUGGUCCGGUACUGACGCUGAGGUGCGAAAGCGUGGGGAGCAAACAGG
rnacentral:rRNA from 1 species